rnacentral:rRNA from 1 species
CUACGAUGCCAGCAGCCGCGGUAAAACGUAGGUCACAAGCGUUGUCCGGAAUUACUGGGUGUAAAGGGAGCGCAGGCGGGAAGUCAAGUUGGAAGUGAAAUCCAUGGGCUCAACCCAUGAACUGCUUUCAAAACUGGUCAUCUUGAGUAGUGCAGAGGUAGGCGGAAUUCCCGGUGUAGCGGUGGAAUGCGUAGAUAUCGGGAGGAACACCAGUGGCGAAGGCGGCCUACUGGGCACCAACUGACGCUGAGGCUCGAAAGUGUGGGUAGCAAACAGGAUUAGAUACCCUGGUAGUCCACACCGUAAACGAUGAUUACUAGGUGUUGGAAGAUUGACCCUCUCAGUGCCGCAGUUAACACAAUAAGUAAUCCACCUGGGGAGUACGACCGCAAGGUUGAAACUCAAAGGAAUUGACGGGGGCCCGCACAAGCAGUGGAGUAUGUGGUUUAAUUCGACGCAACGCGAAGAACCUUACCAAGUCUUGACAUCCCUUGACGAUGCUGGAAACAGUAUUUCUCUUCGGAGCAAGGAGACAGGUGGUGCAUGGUUGUCGUCAGCUCGUGUCGUGAGAUGUUGGGUUAAGUCCCGCAACGAGCGCAACCCUUAUGGUCAGUUACUACGCAAGAGGACUCUGGCCGGACUGC